GAUGAACGCUGGCGGCGUGCCUAAUACAUGCAAGUCGAGCGAACUGAUUAGAAGCUUGCUUCUAUGACGUUAGCGGCGGACGGGUGAGUAACACGUGGGCAACCUGCCUGUAAGACUGGGAUAACUUCGGGAAACCGAAGCUAAUACCGGAUAGGAUCUUCUCCUUCAUGGGAGAUGAUUGAAAGAUGGUUUCGGCUAUCACUUACAGAUGGGCCCGCGGUGCAUUAGCUAGUUGGUGAGGUAACGGCUCACCAAGGCAACGAUGCAUAGCCGACCUGAGAGGGUGAUCGGCCACACUGGGACUGAGACACGGCCCAGACUCCUACGGGAGGCAGCAGUAGGGAAUCUUCCGCAAUGGACGAAAGUCUGACGGAGCAACGCCGCGUGAGUGAUGAAGGCUUUCGGGUCGUAAAACUCUGUUGUUAGGGAAGAACAAGUACGAGAGUAACUGCUCGUACCUUGACGGUACCUAACCAGAAAGCCACGGCUAACUACGUGCCAGCCGCCGCCGUAAAAC
rnacentral:rRNA from 1 species